rnacentral:tRNA from 1 species
GCCUGGCUGGCUCAGUGGGUAGAGCAUGUGACUCUUGAUCUCAGGGUUGUGAGUUCAAGCCCCAUGUUGGGCA